UAUAAAAACCAAAUGAGUAUUCAUAUUUGAACUGACUGUUUAUAGUUCAUAAUGCAUGAGCAAAACCGAAAGUUUCUGUGAUGACUGCCCUUGUACUGUUCACUAUGUAACUUAUUCAUUAUGUAAGAAUUUGUUCUACAUGUAAAAACUUGUUUGUUAUGCCUCAGAAGAUUGGAGACUGACAAAAAUUAGGCUUGGGGUGGAAUAAUGAUUGUGCAUUGAGCAUUGACUCCCCUAUACAGAAUCUUAUUGUCGUUAACAACCAUUUGAUCAAUAAAUAUGAGAGAUGCCCUCACAAAAAAAAAAAAAAAAAAAAGGACAGACUUCCAAUGGUAAAAUAAAUUAGUAACCGGGAUGUAAGGUAUAGCAUAAGGAAUAUAGUCAAGAUAUUGUAACAGCCUGGUAGGGUGAUAGCUGGAACCUAGAAUUAUGUAUAUAAAUGUUCUACCACUGUGUUGUACACUUGAAACUGAUGUAAUGUAUAGCAUAAGGAAUAUAGUCAAGAUAUUGUAACAGCCUGGUAGGGUGAUAGCUGGAACCUAGAAUUAUGUAUAUAAAUGUUCUACCACUGUGUUGUACACUUGAAACUGAUGUAAUGUAUAGCAUAAGGAAUAUAGUCAAGAUAUUGUAACAGCCUGGUAGGGUGAUAGCUGGAACCUAGAAUUAUGUAUAUAAAU